UCUUCGGGUGUCCAUUUGACCCCUUUUGGAAGGUAGAUGAAGAGAAAGAGAGUUAGCAUUUCGGCUGGAGUCACGGGACUCUCCUGAAGCGCGUUUCGACUGGCUUCCGUGACGAAGGCGCCGUCGUAUACGCCAUACGUAUCGCGCGUUUGCCGUUCGGCGCCUUUCUGGCGCGGUGGCUCGCCGACGGAGCCAGCCUGGCUGGCGCCGCGCCUCGGCCUCCUCUCUUAGUAUGCUCGGUCUCUUGGAAUGCGUUGCGUCGGUAGCGCGGGUUGCGUCAGUUGCCUGUCGUGUAGUUUUGUGUUCGAACAAAAAUGCGCAUCUUCGGUGGCGUUGACGCCAGGCUCCGUGCUCGAAGUAACGCUUGGAGGGCGGAAUAUUCAUGGAGCUGCGGACACGGACAACGUGCGCCCGUUAACGAAUCCCGGAUCACUUCUUCCGCCUCUUCACUCCAGUUGACAGCUACACUCGGGGAAACGAAGGUGUCGCUUGGUCUGGCGCCUCACCGCUCGUGAUGGAAAAAUCAACAGCGGCGUUCGCCCUGUCAACCGAACGAGGCAGUCGGUCCUACAUUUCCUUUGGUUGGACAAGACGACGUAGGAAAAGAAAUACCGUUUUUAUGGCGCUCACGCUGAACAGGAGCGACAGCCUAGCAAGUCAC